rnacentral:rRNA from 1 species
GAUGAACGCUGGCGGCGUGCCUAAUACAUGCAAGUCGAGCGAACAGACGAGGAGCUUGCUCCUCUGACGUUAGCGGCGGACGGGUGAGUAACACGUGGAUAACCUACCUAUAAGACUGGGAUAACUUCGGGAAACCGGAGCUAAUACCGGAUAAUAUAUUGAACCGCAUGGUUCAAUAGUGAAAGACGGUUUUGCUGUCACUUAUAGAUGGAUCCUCGCCGCAUUAGCUAGUUGGUAAGGUAACGGCUUACCAAGGCAACGAUGCGUAGCCGACCUGAGAGGGUGAUCGGCCACACUGGAACUGAGACACGGUCCAGACUCCUACGGGAGGCAGCAGUAGGGAAUCUUCCGCAAGGGGCGAAAGCCUGACGGAGCAACGCCGCGUGAGUGAUGAAGGUCUUCGGAUCGUAAAACUCUGUUAUUAGGGAAGAACAAAUGUGUAAGUAACUAUGCACGUCUUGACGGUACCUAAUCAGAAAGCCACGGCUAAAUACGUG